rnacentral:rRNA from 1 species
AGCCUGAACCAGCCAAGUCGCGUGAAGGACGACGGUUUAUGGAUUGUAAACUUCUUUUGUAGAGGAAUAACGGCAGCUACGUGUAGCUGAGAUGCAUGUACUCUACGAAUAAGUAUCGGCUAACUCCGUGCCAGCAGCCGCGGUAAUACGGAGGAUACGAGCGUUAUCCGGAAUUAUUGGGUUUAAAGGGUGCGUAGGUGGCGUAUUAAGUCAGUGGUGAAAAGCUGCAGCUCAACUGUAGUCUUGCCGUUGAAACUGAUAUGCUAGAGAGGAGACGAGGUAUGCGGAAUGUGUGGUGUAGCGGUGAAAUGCAUAGAUAUCACACAGAACGCCGAUUGCGAAGGCAGCGUACCAAGCUCCGUCUGACACUGAAGCACGAAAGCGUGGGGAUCAAACAGGAUUAGAUACCCUGGUAGUCCACGUAUAAAACGAUGAAUACUAAAUUUUGCGAUAUAUGUAAGAGUCUAAGC